rnacentral:rRNA from 1 species
UCCUACGGGAGGCAGCAGUGAGGAAUAUUGGUCAAUGGGCGCGAGCCUGAACCAGCCAAGUCGCGUGAGGGAAGACGGUCCUAUGGAUUGUAAACCUCUUUUGUCGGGGAGCAAAGCGAACCACGUGUGGUUCAUUGAGAGUACCCGAAGAAAAAGCAUCGGCUAACUCCGUGCCAGCAGCCGCGGUAAUACGGAGGAUGCGAGCGUUAUCCGGAUUUAUUGGGUUUAAAGGGUGCGUAGGCGGACAGUCAAGUCAGCGGUAAAAAUGCGGUGCUCAACGCCGUACAGCCGUUGAAACUGGCAGG